AUAGAACAUCCCUGGGGCAGGAGGCAGGUGCAUUUUGAGCUCUUCCUAAAGUGGACUCCUUUGCUUUGCACUUCUCGAGCUUUCUCCCCGCCAAGAGCCUUCAUCACCACUUAGAACAUUGCCAUCUUCCUAGUGCCUCCGAUUUCUGAGGCGAGAGGACUGAGGCUGAAAACUGCCCGGCUGCAGGUCACCCUCAAGGCCAAAGGUGGCUCCUGCACCUGUGCCAGCUCCUGCAAAUGCAAAGAGUACAAAUGCACCUCCUGCAAGAAGAACUGCUGCUCCUGCUGCCCCAUGGGCUGUGCCAAAUGUGCCCAGGGCUGCACCUGAAAAGGGGCAUUGGAGAAGUGCAGCUGCCGUGCCUGAUGUUGGGACAGCCCUGCGUCCAGUUGUAAAUAACGCAACCCCUACAAAUCUAGUUUUUUUUUAAACACAAACCUAACCCAUUUACUAUGUCUGUUUUCUUAAAUGAAAUAUGGGAAUGAUAAUAAACAUUGUUGGCCUU
rnacentral:lncRNA from 1 species